UACAGAGGGUGCGAGCGUUGUUCGGAAUUAUUGGGCGUAAAGGGCGCGUAGGCGGUGCGGUAAGUCACCUGUGAAAUCUCCUGGCUCAACUGGGAGCUUGCAGGCGAAACUGCCGUGCUGGAGUGUGGGAGAGGUGCGUGGAAUUCCUGGUGUAGCGGUGAAAUGCGCAGAUAUCAGGAGGAACACCAAUGGCGAAGGCAGCUCGCUGGGACGGUACUGACGCUGAGGCGCGAAAGCGUGGGGAGCAAACAGG
rnacentral:rRNA from 1 species